GACGAACGCUGGCGGCGUGCCUAAUACAUGCAAGUAGGACGCAGUUGCGAACGGGUUAUUAACGCGUAGGUAACUACCUAUUAGAGGGGGCUAACUAUUGGAAACGAUAGCUAAUACCGCAUACUAGUAGAUUGACCUGGGUUGUAUUAUCUAGUCUGUUGGGUAAUGGCUUACCUAGGCAACGAUACAUAGCCGACCUGAGAGGGUGAUCGGCCCCACUGGGACUGAGACACGGCCCAGACUCCUACGGGAGGCAGCAGUAGGGAAUCUUCCGCAAUGGGGGGAACCCUGACCGAGCAACGCCGCGUGAAUGAUGAAGGUCUUCGGAUCGUAAAACUCUUUUAUUCGGGAAGCGGUACCUAAACAGAAAGCAACGGCUAACUACGUGCCAGCAGCCGCGGUAAUUC
rnacentral:rRNA from 1 species